rnacentral:rRNA from 1 species
UACGUAGGGUGCGAGCGUUAAUCGGAAUUACUGGGCGUAAAGCGUGCGCAGGCGGUUCGUUAAGUCAGAUGUGAAAGCCCCGGGCUCAACCUGGGAACGGCAUUUGAAACUGGCGGGCUGGAGUGUGGCAGAGGGGGGUGGAAUUCCGCGUGUAGCAGUGAAAUGCGUAGAGAUGCGGAGGAACACCGAUGGCGAAGGCAGCCCCCUGGGCCAAAACUGACGCUCAGGCACGAAAGCGUGGGGAGCAAACAGG